CUGGGUUACAGUAAGACAUGUGAGCAGGUCUGCUGCCACGACGACAGAGAGACAGAGAGAUUUGUGACCUGUUUGCCACAAGACCACCGAGCAGAGGGUAAGGCUGUCAGCUGAUGAGAGGAGGAGGGAGUACUAUGACGAACGAGUUUGAGAACUACGUGGAAGAGGAGCGCGAUGAGCAGGAUGAGAGGACACGGGAGAAGACAGAGCAGUGGCGUGAGUUCCACUAUGGACUCUACCCCCGUUAUCCCCGCGGUUGGUGAGCAUGCUCCAUAGGCCAAGGAGAUCCGAACAUGGUGCACCAGCCUGUGAUUGGCAGGACCCUGUGCCACUUAAGACACCUAGCCUAUCAGACGGACAUAACAAGAGCAUGGGAGGUGGCCAAAACAUCACUCACCUAGGAGUAAAAAUGUUGACGUACAAAACUAUUAAAGUCAAUCAUUUAAAAUGGUAG